rnacentral:rRNA from 1 species
UACGUAGGGUGCGAGCGUUGUCCGGAAUUACUGGGCGUAAAGAGCUCGUAGGUGGUUUGUCGCGUUGUCCGUGAAAACUCACAACUCAAUUGUGGGCGUGCGGGCGAUACGGGCAGACUGGAGUACUGCAGGGGAGACUGGAAUUCCUGGUGUAGCGGUGGAAUGCGCAGAUAUCAGGAGGAACACCGGUGGCGAAGGCGGGUCUCUGGGCAGUAACUGACGCUGAGGCUCGAAAGCGUGGGAGCAAACAGG